AAAUUGAAGAGUUUGAUCAUGGCUCAGAUUGAACGCUGGCGGCAGGCCUAACACAUGCAAGUCGAACGGUAACAGAAAGCAGCUUGCUGCUUUGCUGACGAGUGGCGGACGGGUGAGUAAUGUCUGGGAAACUGCCUGAUGGAGGGGGAUAACUACUGGAAACGGUAGCUAAUACCGCAUAACGUCGCAAGACCAAAGAGGGGGACCUUAGGGCCUCUUGCC
rnacentral:rRNA from 1 species